UAUUGGGUAAACAUGGACAUAAAGAUGGCAACAGUAGACAGUAGGUCUAUCAAGUACUAUGCUCACUACCUGGGCAAUGGGAUCAACUGUACCCCAAACCUCAGGACCAACACAAUGUACCUAUGUAACAAAUCUGCACGUUCCCCUUCAAUCUAAAUGUUGAAGGUUGGGCGUGGUGGCUCACGCCUGUAAUCCUAACACUUUGGGGAGGCUAAGGUGGGCAGAUCACUUGAGCCCAGGAGUUCGAGACCAGCCUGGGCAAUAUGGUGAAAUUCCGUCUCCACCAGAAAAAUACAAAAAUUAGCCAGUCUCAUCACCUGUUCUCAAAUAAAUAUGUUGACAUUAUUUAAAAAUUUUUAAAAAAGCAAUGUUUAAAAGAUUUUCUUCUGGCUGUGUGCAGUGGCUCAUGCCUAUAAUCCCAACACUUUGAGGGGCCAAGGCAGGUGGAUCACCUGAGGUCAGGAGUUUGAGACCAGCCUGGCCAACAUGGCAAAACCCUGGCUCUAGUAAAAUACAAAAAUUAGCCAGGUGUGGUGGCAGAUGCCUGUAGUUUCAGCUACUCGGGAGACAGGAGAAUCACUUGAACCUGGGAUGCAGAGGUUGCUAUGAGCUGAGAUCACACCAUUGCACUCCAGCCUAGGUGACAAGACCAAAACUCUGUCUCAAAAAACAAACAAACAAAAAAGACUUUCCUCUGAAUUUAACCAACAGUAUCCUAAAAUAUAUUUGCUAACUCGAUAUUUGUCAUGAAAUUAGAACAUAUACUUUUAUAUACCCUAUGUAUACAGCAACAUUAAAUGUGUCAUAUGAAAUUAGAAUAUAUACUUCUAAUAAAUAAACGUGCAUAAUUCCCUUCUCCCUAUCCUCCAACCACUCAGAGAAGAGCAUAGAUUAAUGUAAUUUUCAGUGGUUUAACAUCCUCCCAUCCAAGUACUAACCAGGCACGACCCUACUUAGUUUCCAAGAUCAGAUGACAUCAGGCAUGUUUAGGGCGGUACAGCUGUAGGUGGUUUAGCACUUUCUAUUAGGGAGACAAUCUUUCUAAAGCAAUGCUCUAUAUCCACGGGUUCUGCAUCUGCAGAUUCAGCCAACCAUGGCUCAAAAAUAUUCAGGGAACCCUUCACCCAAAUAACAAUGCAAUAAAAAAUACAAAUAAAAAGUCGGGUGCGGUGGCUCAUGCCUGUAAUCCCAGCACUUUGGGAGGCUGAGGCGGGCGGAUCACCUGAGGUUUGGAGUUCGAGACCAGCCUGACCAACAUGGAGAAACGCUGUCUCUACUGAAAAAAAAAAAAAAAAAAAAAAAAAAAAAAAAAAAAAAACCAAAAUUAGCCGGGCAUAGUGGGACGUUUGUAAUCCCAGCUACUUGGAAAGCUGAGGCAGAAUUGCUUGAACCUGGGAGGCAGAGGUUGCGGUGAGCCAAGAUUAUGCCAUUGCACUCCAGCCUGGGCAACAAGAGCAAAACUCUGUCUCAAAAAUAAUAAUUAUAAUUAUAAUAAUAAAAAAUAUAACUCCUAUAUGUAUUAAUAGCAUUUACACUAUAUUAGGUAUUAUAAGUAAUCUAGAGGUGAUUUAAAGUAUAUGGGAGGAUACGCAUAGAUUACAUGCAAAUACUAGACCAUUUUAUUUACUUACAGGAUCUUGCUCUCUUACCCAGGGUGGAGUGCAGUGACUCCAUCACUGCUCACUGCAGCCUCAGCCUCCCGGGCUCAAUUCAUCCUCCCAUCUCAGCCUUCCGAAUGGUUGGGACUACAGGCGUCCACCACCACGCCUGGCUAAUUUUUUUGUUUUGUAGAGGCAGGGUUUCACCAUGUUGCCCAGGCUGAUCUUGAACUCCUGAGCUCAAGUGAUUCACCUGUCUCGGCCUCCCAAAGUGUUGGGGUUACAGGCGUGAGCCACUGUGCCUGAUACUAGGCCAUUUUAUAUCAGGGACUUGAGCAUCUGUGGAUUUUGGUAUCUGUGGGAGGUCCUAGACCAAUCCCCACGGAUAUCAAAAUCCGAGGAUGCUCAAGCAGACCUCAGUAUCCCCAUGGAUACCAAGAGAUGACUGUAUUGAAAAUAUUUUUCAAUAUUUUCAAUAUUUUUCAAACACUACUCCACAUCUAUUUUUAAUAUGUGGUGAGCACAUCUAAACACGUAGAAAAGCUAGAUACAGGCAUUUGAAUGAAGGACCUAAGUUUAACAUUGUAUCCACAGGAGUGCUGAGUGAAGUUUAUCAUUGUAUCCACAGGAGUGCUGAGUAAUAGCACGCCUGUGGAUCAAUGCUUCUAAAUGCACAUUCUGGCGGGAACCUUUCCCCUCCUUCACUGCCUUUUGCCCUUCCUUCAACCCAUGAAACGAACGAGGGCAUGAGUCCAAGAAAUGCUGUAAAAAUUGCAUUCCCGUAAGUGAUUUCCAGAAGGCAAUGUUCCUUUCCAGUGAAUCUUAACAAAAGGGUUGGAAAACAAGUUUUUCUCAUUUUACUUUUAGCAUCGUUGACAACCUCUCCACAUCUAGAGAGGCUCUACAUGUUGCAAAUAAUUCACAUUUAUUUUAGAAGGUUGCGGUAAAAACUUAACAGCAGCUGGUCCACAUUAUAUGCACAGGAUCAUAGUUGGUAAAUCUUCUAAAUAGAGGGUUGUCACUUCCGGUGGCUGAAUGAGACAAACCAUAAGCCAUCAUUUCUCACUCCCUCUAUCAAUUAACACCCAGAGGGGUGUUGUACCUGUAUGCCUGUACCCCACACAGGACCACUGCCUGGAAAGGCAGGAUGCCUGUGGCUCUAUUUCCACUACUCACCCAUUCCCUGGAGUAGGCGCUCAAUUAAUAGGCUGAGUUUAACACACAGGUACACAGCAUGGAUACUGUAAAACUCUUAAGUGGGAUCACAUUAUAUGCAGAUUGCAGAUUUCAGCAAUUUGACUUUUUUUUUUUUUUUGGAGACAAGAGUCUUGCUCUGUCACCCAGGCCGGAGUACAGUGGCACGAUCUCGGGUCACUGCAACCUGUGCCUCCUGGGUUCAAGUGAUUCUCCUGCCUCAGCCUCCCA
rnacentral:lncRNA from 10 species